AGUCCCGGGGUGGUCCCACACCAAAGUGCAAAUUUGGAGCAGCACCCCAAAAGGUGCCGGGGCUU
rnacentral:tRNA from 1 species